rnacentral:rRNA from 1 species
UGGGGGAUAUUGCACAAUGGGCGAAAGCCUGAUGCAGCGACGCCGCGUGGGGGAUGAAGGCCUUCGGGUUGUAAACUUCUUUUGCUCUGAACAAGGCAUGCUAAUGGGUGUGUUGAGUGUAGGGGUUGAUUAGCGCCGGCUAACUACGUGCCAGCAGCCGCGGUAAUACGUAGGGCGCGAGCGUUGUCCGGAAUUAUUGGGCGUAAAGGGCUUGUAGGUGGCUGGUUGCGUCUGUCGUGAAAGCUCAUGGCUUAACUGUGGGUUUGCGGUGGGUACGGGCUGGCUUGAGUGCAGUAGGGGAGGCUGGAAUUCCUGGUGUAGCGGUGGAAUGCGCAGAUAUCAGGAGGAAUGCCGGUGGCGAAGGCGGGUCUCUGGGCUGUUACUGACACUGAGGAGCGAAAGCAUGGGGAGCGAACAGG